rnacentral:rRNA from 1 species
UACAGAGGGGGCAAGCGUUGUUCGGAAUUACUGGGCGUAAAGGGCGCGUAGGCGGCCUUCUAAGUCGAACGUGAAAUCCCUGGGCUCAACCCAGGAACUGCGUCCGAUACUGGAAGGCUUGAAUCCGGGAGAGGGAUGUGGAAUUCCAGGUGUAGCGGUGAAAUGCGUAGAUAUCUGGAGGAACACCGGUGGCGAAGGCGGCAUCCUGGACCGGUAUUGACGCUGAGGCGCGAAAGCUAGGGGAGCAAACAGG